rnacentral:tRNA from 28 species
GAUUAAAUGGCUGAAAUUUAGGCAAUAGACUGUAAAUCUAUUUAUGAGAGUUAUUCUCUUUAAUCA